rnacentral:rRNA from 1 species
AUUGAACGCUGGCGGCAGGCCUAACACAUGCAAGUCGAACGAGUGGCGGACGGGUGAGUAAUGUCUGGGAAUCUGCCUGAUGGAGGGGGAUAACUACUGGAAACUGUAGCUAAUACCGCAUACCAUCGGAUGAGCCCAGAGGGGAUUAGCUAGUUGGUGGGGUAACGGCUCACCAAGGCGACGAUCCCUAGCUGGUCUGAGAGGAUGACCAGCCACCCUGGAACUGAGACACGGCCCAAACUCCGACGGGAGGCAGCAGGGGGGAAUAUUGCACAAUGGGGGAAACCCUGAGGCAGCAAGGCCGCGGGGAUGAAGAAGGCCUUGGGGUGGUAAAGUACUUUCAGCGGGGAGGCGUUAACCGCAGAAGAAGCACCGGCUAACUCCGUGCCAGCAGCCGCGGUAAUAC